GAAAGAGCUAGUAGUUCAGUGAGGACAUGGAAGUACUGCGGCUUAAGCAGUGUGCAUACACGAGUGAUUCAGACCUGUAACCACAGAGUGUAAGAGAUGAUAGCAUCUGCCAUGUGAUGUUCUGAAAUGACGCAAUGUGGAUUGUUUCUGAGUUUGCAGGACAUACAUAUGUGAUCAAGAAUCAAUACAGAGCAGGAAGUUCAGUUUAUGCCCUAUGUACAGUACAUUUGAAAACAAUGCCAUAGUCCACAUGAGGCAUUUUGGGCCUGAUCCUGUUUAUCCUAUUCAAAUUCCCAUUGAAGUAAGGAUUGCACGACUUAGCCUAUCAGCUGUUAAAAAUGCAAUGAAAUGGUUCCAUAAUCCUUGAGAUGGUUACAUUUCAAAACAGACACAAUCUUUCUUACAUACAAAGUCAGUACAUAAAUAAAUGUAUUCAUGACUGAAUAUUGGUAACAUCAUAGCAGAAUUUUCAGAAACCUUCAUGGUCCAGUGUUAACUCUGAGUACUCAACCACUGACCUUCCAGUGAUCUGCCACAAACCAUCCAUCCAUCUCCUCACUGGUUGUCCCUGACUACGAUGACCCUCCCCUAUCCCUCCCAUAAUAACUUUCUCAAGUUUACUUCCAUCUCUAUGCCUAACAUGACCAAAGUAUAUAAGUUUGUGUCAUGCUGGUGUCUGUUGAGCCACUAAUCCUGUGAGAGGACAUGGUCCAUGCUAUUAUGAAAUUAAAGCCCGGGAAAGGACCAGGGAAAUGGUAGAUAACGUGCCCGAAGAACUGUUAAAAGCAAUUGGUGAAAGCAAUACUGAUUUUAUGUGGUAAAUUUGUGAUGAUGUAUGGAUGAUUAGAAAUUGGCUGGACAACUGGAUGAAGAGAAUUUUUCUGACCUUGAUAGAGAAGGGAAAAAUAACAGAGGGUAGUAACUCUCAUCUCAUCUCCCUGAUAGUGUACACAGCAAAGUUCUGUUCUACAUAAUCCAGGAUUCCUGAAAAGAAGUAUAGCAGCAGAACUUACCACCACAAGCGGGUUUCAGAAAGUGCUGAGACACACCUGACCAAAUUGCAAAUAUCCAUCAAAUCCCUGAAAAAGGCAGAGUACAGGCACCCACUGAUCAUAUGAUUCACUGACUCUCCGAAGUGUUUGAUACUAUCUGAUGUGACCGCCUUUGGAGGAUAUUAGCAAGCCUGCAGAUUCUAAUCUGACUAAACUCACUGCAAGUCUCUACCACCAACAACAGACCAUGGUGUGAAAAGCAGUAAGCAGUUUUCCCCUGAGCAGGGUGAGAGACAAGGGUGUAUUUUGUCCCCAAUCCUCUUUAACGUAUAUGCAGAAUUUUUUAUGAGACAAGUCUUGAAGAUUUUUACAAAGUGGAAGAAGCUGGGAUUUCCAUUGGAGGUCACCUCUUAGCCAAACUCAAAUAUGCUGAUGACACAAUUCUCUUUGCUAUAACCAUCAAUGCAAUGCAACAAAUGCUGGAGUCUGGAAAAACAGUUUUGUGAGGAAUAUGGACUAUUCCUGAAUGUAACAAAAACAAAUUGCACAUAUGUUGACACAACAAACAACAGGAUGUAAGCAGACAUCACAAUUAAUAGACUAGCUGUAGAGACAGUAGCUUAUUGAAUUAUCUGGUAUCAUAUAUAUCCAACCAAGGAGGCUGUUCCAAAGAAAUCUGAAGAAGACUAAAGAUGGUUCACUCAGCUAUGGUUUCCCUUAAGAGAAUGUGGAAAAUACAUGGCAUCUUGAAAUAUACAAAGGUAUAACUGGUGAAAAAUGUAACUUUUUUCAUAGGCUAUAUGGAUGUGGAUCGUGGGAUGUUAAUGCUCACAAGAAGAAAACUGAAAUUUUUGAAAUAUGGUGCUGGUCAAGACUUACAUAUUACUGAUUUAUUUUCUAUGAACUUUUCAGAAGUUUUCCCAAUUAUGAUAUAUUCAUAUUUUGUUUUUUUUCUCUCCAGUUUUGCAAAGAUGUUAUAUUGAUAUCUUUGUUAAUGUUUGUAUAUAUGCUGAAGUCGAAGACAGUGCUCUAUGAAGGCGAUAGGAGUUUUGCAUCAGUAAGAAGUGGAGGAUGAGUGAGUUGUAAGUGCUUGGGCAUCAAUCUUGCAAAUACUUAUAAAUAAGCUUAAUUUUAAGCAUAUGAACAGUUUCACUGGUAAACUCCUGGUCCAACUGAAGUCAAUGAUUAAACUCCUAUUGGCUCUAGCAGGGUCAAGAUUGCACUAGAAUCCUGUGUGGGACUGUUUUUUAAAUUCUGCUCCCACCCCGCAAUACCCACUUCCAACCGCUCCCACAUUUUUUCUUGUGUUUUUAUCUCGCGCCCACCCACGAAAACUUUAGAUCCUUCAAAUCCCGCAAGAAAGACAGAUUACCCCAAGUUACUAAAAUAAAAGUUAGUAUAUUCUGUACAUAAAUGGAAUUCAUACAAUUUUUACCACUAAAAGGAUAAAACAAAUCUUGUUUAAACAAUGUA